UCCAGAGAGCAGCGAGCGGGAGCAUCCGCACCUGUGUCCCCGACAGCUGGCACGCUCUGCCCGUGCCACAGCCGCCAUCUGCGCCAGCGCCACGCGCCGCUGACGGGACUGGGGGGAAGGCAGGAGCAGGAAAGGGACUUCACACCACCACAGAGCUAACAGAUGUGCAGGAAUGUCCUGGGCUCGGCAUUGCUUUUCUCUCCAGCAGAAUCUGACUGACAGCACCACCACCAGGGAACAGCUGGGCCCAGGCACAUCACAUUCUGCUGGUCGGGAGAGAAGCUGAUUAGGCUAUGGAGUACCUAAUUGGACACCCCAAGCUUGGACUGCAGCAAUGGAGACUCAGUGUCCUUUCAAUAAAAAGUGCUGAAAGGAACUUCCAGCCAGAUCUUACAAGGCCUUGUAUCAAGUACCAGUGAUACUGGGAAUAUUCUCAACUUCAAUAAAGUCAGCUGGCAUGAAAAUCUAAUUU